UUAGGAAUUUUGCGCAAUGGGCGAAAGCCUGACGCAGCAACACCGCGUGAGUGAUGAAGGCCUUCGGGUUGUAAAACUCUUUUAAUCGGGAAAAAAUAAAUGAUGGUACCGAUAGAAACAGCACCGGCUAACUCUGUGCCAGCAGCCGCGGUAAUACAGAGGGUGCAAGCGUUAUUCGGAUUUACUGGGCGUAAAGGGCGCGUAGGUGGUUUGGUAAGUCUGGUGUGAAAUCCCUCGACUCAAUCGAGGAAGUGCACCAGAUACUGCUAGACUAGAGUAUGGGAGAGGAGAGUGGAAUUCCAGGUGUAGAGGUGAAAUUCGUAGAUAUCUGGAGGAACAACAGAGGCGAAGGCGGCUCUCUGGACCAUUACUGACACUGAGGCGCGAAAGCGUGGGGAGCAAACAGGAUUAGAUACCCCUGUAGUCCCUGAGCGGGCUGGCAAGGCGCAU
rnacentral:rRNA from 1 species